rnacentral:rRNA from 1 species
AACUUUCAGCAACGGAUCUCUUGGCUCUCGCAUCGAUGAAGAACGCAGCGAAAUGCGAUAAGUAAUGUGAAUUGCAGAAUUCAGUGAAUCAUCGAAUCUUUGAACGCACCUUGCGCUCCUUGGUAUUCCGAGGAGCAUCUGUUUGAGUGUCAUUAAU